rnacentral:misc_RNA from 1 species
UUUAGAAGCGAAUAUUGAAAAAAAAAAAAGUGAAAGGCACAGCAUUUUAAAUAAAUCAAAGAAGGAAGAUAUCGUUAUUCCGAUGUCGCUUGGUAACAUGGAAGACAUUGGGCAAGAUAGUAAUAUGCUACCGGAAGUAUGAAUAGCGAGUCUGUCACAACCUGUGGUAGCGAUUCAGUUAGCAUUCCUCAAAACUCUCAAGAGAUAUAUGAGAGAGAAGAAAGAAUUGUUGUCGACUAUUCUAAUCUACCUGACAAGUAUAAAAAUCUUCUUGUAUCGGAUGAAAUACGCCGUGAAGGUGAUCUCCUAGAACGUCGCGUGAACGAGUUGAGCCAUACAGUUCAGCAUAAUAAAGCCCCUAAUAUGCGGGCUGUGGAAAAAAUUUGACUUGGCAGGAGAAAAGCUACAAUGGACCAACACAGAGUUUGAAAAGGUUCGCGCCAAAACCAAGAAAGCUCAACAGGCAUUUGAAAGAGUAAAACAAGAGCGUUUUGAUCUCUUUAUGUCUUGUUUUGAACACGUUUUGAAUAAAAUCGAUGGCAUUUAUAAUUCGUUGGCGAGGAACAAUUCUGCUCAAGCCGUUUACCCCAGCCGUCAGAGCGCCCCUAUCAGCCUGACGGUGCAAUAGAAUUUUCGCCUACUAAUAGAAUUUUCGCCGGAUCUAUGCAGACGCACCUACCCCCUAUCACAUCACAUCACUGCCUAAUUCCAGAAUUCUUCCAAGAUAGCUCUGUGACUUAGCCGAAGGCCAACGCUUGCAACGCGAGCCCUAGUUCAAUUGAACCGUCCAGUAGUAGCUCUAGCUCGAUGAGUUAUUCCAGGAAAUAAUUUAAGCGUGUCCGUUAAACCGUUAACGGUUUAGUAAACUUUUUAUUCAAAUGCUCCAUUCCAGCAUUCCUAGAUGGCGAAAUCGUCGUGCCCGGAAGUCAUGAAAAAUUGUUGUCUGCUGAUUUCGAAUUCGAAUGGCGACCAAGCCGACCAGUCGAACACGUUGCGAAUUGGAAUAAUCUUACAUAUAUAAUCUAUCGGUUCCAAAUCAACAACAUCUUGUUGUUUUAGUUGGAAUGGUGGAGUGCCAGUUGUGAAGCCAGAAAUGGAAACAGACAACGACAAGACAACCGACAUUUUUCUAAGGGCAUGGCAAUUAUUUGAUGUAUCAAGACCACGUCACUAAAUCUAAAAUCACAAAAAAUAUUUCUGCUACAGGAGCAUAAUGCGCGAAUUUUCUCAGCAAGAAAUGCGACGAAAGAGACCAGAUAUCCGACAAUUAAUAUGACAAAUGCCCCUGUCAAAUUGUUAAGAGAUAAUCGUGUUGAGUCUUUUUUCGAAGACUUUUUCAAUUGCAUUAUAUUAUCGGCUUUUUCAAGACACUGUCGAACAUCAGGUUGAUACCACUUGGUCCAAAAGUCCAGCAACCCAAAGUCACGCAUCUCAAGAAUCCUAACGAAAACCAAUAACUAAAAUGUGUUCAACGACUUACCCUUGAUUGAAGUACUCCAAAUAAGGACUAUUCUUAGCCAAUGCCCAGCUCCAAGGUGAAGCAUAUUCUUUCUCUUUGGCUAAAGCCAGGUUACAUUUCCCAGUAGAUUGAAAAUCGUUUUUCAUCACAUCCAGUAUGGCUAGGACACUCUGCAUACAUUUCAUCAAAACACUUUGAUAGUUAUUUAAUGGUUUUCUUUCGCAUAUAGUAUUUAUAUUUACGUUGAUGUAGACGUGAUUACCAGACUUGACGAGGCUAACACAGUUCUCUGUUUUAAGACAACGGGAAUUCGGAUAAUCGCGCAACUUAUUUUUCAAAUGGUUGUAAAUACUGCCGUCUGGAUAUAUGCUUUUCUGAAUGCAACGUAUACAUUUUUAAAACAAGUUAACACUUUUUACAUUAACCCGUUCAACUUUUGAUGAAGGAACUUGAAGCUUACCGAAAAGCCAAUAUCGAAACCGUUGCCUGCAUCCACCACUAGAUGAAUCUUGGAAACGUUCGACAAAUCUUUCAUAUCGUGAAUAAGAGGCUCAGCAUUUGGAGAAAUCAAAUACGAUACUAAAAGACUGUUGUAGCUGGAGAUCAAGACAAAAGCUGCCAGACACCAAACCAUGGUCACCCAUCGGAUGAAUAGCCUUCUAUCAGGACAGUAUCCACCUUUUAUACAUUAUUAGUUUAAAAUUAUAGUAGAUCAUUCUU